UGAUAUGAUAAUUUGGAUAAUGUACAGGC
rnacentral:sRNA from 1 species